AGCAGCCAUUACCGAAUGGGCAGGCUCAAAUAACCAGAUGAGUUGAUGUCGGAUGUCACGACAAGAUGCUAUCAGAACUCCUGAACAAAAUGAACAAAUGGGACAUGUAUCGGUUUGAUUCCUCUAUUUAUUCUGCCUAUUCCAAACAUGCUCUUGUAGCUGAUUCCAUGACUUCUGGUUGUAGGCUUCUCAUUGCUCCCUUUGAAAAUCUUUUUCUUAUACAUGAUACUUAACAAGUGUUAUUUGGUCUGACAAUAAUUCUUACCAUAUUCGUCCAUAAUAAUUGAUUAUAGUGUUGUUGGAGCUGUGUUGUUGUAUCCUACCAUAGCAUGAGCGUGUUCGAUGUGUGACAGUAGUUGGAAACAAUGAUGAGAAUACAUUUA